UUGAACGCUGGCGGCAUGCCUUACACAUGCAAGUCGAACGGUAACAGGUCUUCGGAUGCUGACGAGUGGCGAACGGGUGAGUAAUACAUCGGAACGUGCCCGAUCGUGGGGGAUAACGGAGCGAAAGCUUUGCUAAUACCGCAUACGAUCUACGGAUGAAAGCAGGGGACCGCAAGGCCUUGCGCGGACGGAGCGGCCGAUGGCAGAUUAGGUUUGGUGGGAUAAAAGCUUACCAAGCCGACGAUCUGUAGCUGGUCUGAGAGGACGACCAGCCACACUGGGACUGAGACACGGCCCAGACUC
rnacentral:rRNA from 1 species